ensembl:lncRNA FAM86JP family with sequence similarity 86 member J, pseudogene
GGCCCCGCCCACGUCAUGGCGCCCGAGGAGAACGCUGGGACCUAACUCUUGCUGCAGAGUUUGCAGCGCCGCUUUCUGGCGGCGCGCGCGCUGCGCUCCUUCCCCUGGCAGGUGCACCCUGUGACAUCUGAAGGUCAGGCUUUCAGCUGCUGUGGCUUCCACUUCCAACUGGCUCCACGUCCCCAGGGAGAGAUCACACAGCGCUUUGCCAACACAUUCUAUUGCGUGUUUAAUGUUCCUGUGAAUGCGCCCUUGAGAUUUCUCUCUCUCCCGUCCACACAGAGCUUAGAAGCAAAAUUAACAGACUCAUCAGAUUCUGAGCUUCUGCGGGAUAUUUUGCAGAAGACUGUGAAGCAUCCUGUGUGUGUGACGCACCCGCCGUCAGUCAAGUAUGCCCGGUGCUUUCUCUCAGAACUCAUCAAAAAGACGUGCUGUAUUGCCCAGAAGCCAUCGUGUUGCUGGUCGGGGUCCUGCUGAGGCUGGCUGCCUGCCGGGAGCACCAGCGGGCUCCUGAGGUCUAUGUGGCCUUUACUGUCCGCAACCCAGAGACAUGCCAGCUGUUCACCACCGAGCUAGGCCAGGCCAGGAUCAGAUGGGAAGUGGAACCUCGUCAUGACCAGAAACUGUUUCCCUAUGAAGAGCACUUGGAGAUGGCAAUGCUGAACCUCACACUGUAGGACUCACACACGACUCCAAUGGGAUUGUGAGAAUCAAGUCACUCUCAAGGGAAGAGGUUUCAUAUGGGAAAGCUGAUAAAACUUUCACUGGACUGGAAUGUUUGGAGAAUGUUAAUUUCCAAAUCAGGAACUACAAACUGCCCUCUAAUAAGACAUCGGCUAUCUAAGCGUGUGGGUGCUCCCUUUCUGCCAGCAGUUCUGGUUCUUAAGGAAAUCGCCAUCACUCAGACAUGAAAACUCUGGCUCCAAAAAUAGCAUUUUCUUUGUGCAAAUAAAAACGUGUGUAUCAA